CCGAGUACCGGGUCUCUCAGGCCCUUACUCCCACCCAAUGUGUACCUUACCAUUUAUUCGUUGCUUUGGCGGGUUCAGUGUCCACCUCCGGGCGGUCACCUCCCCCGCCAAAGGAACACCUUUAAACUCUUGUCAACUGUGUUGUCUGAGAAAAAAACAAAUAAAUUA
rnacentral:misc_RNA from 1 species